GGGUUGUGAGGUUAAGCGACUAAGCGUACACGGUGGAUGCCCUGGCAGUCAGAGGCGAUGAAGGACGUGCUAAUCUGCGAAAAGCGUCGGUAAGGUGAUAUGAACCGUUACAGCCGGCGAUGUCCGAAUGGGGAAACCCAGUGCAAUUCGUUGCACUAUCGUUAACUGAAUACAUAGGUUAACGAGGCGAACCGGGGGAACUGAAACAUCUAAGUACCCCGAGGAAAAGAAAUCAACCGAGAUUCCCCCAGUAGCGGCGAGCGAACGGGGAGCAGCCCAGAGUCUGAAUCAGCUUGUGUGUUAGUGGAACGGUCUGGAAAGUCCGACGGUACAGGGUGAUAGUCCCGUACACCAAAAUGCACAGGUUGUGAACUCGAAGAGUAGGGCGGGACACGUGGUAUCCUGUCUGAAUAUGGGGGGACCAUCCUCCAAGGCUAAAUACUCCUGACUGACCGAUAGUGAACCAGUACCGUGAGGGAAAGGCGAAAAGAACCCCGGCGAGGGGAGUGAAAAAGAACCUGAAACCGUGCACGUACAAGCAGUGGGAGCACCUUCGGGUGUGACUGCGUACCUUUUGUAUAAUGGGUCAGCGACUUAUAUUCUGUAGCAAGGUUAACCGUAUAGGGGAGCCGCAGGGAAACCGAGUCUUAACUGGGCGUUAAGUUGCAGGGUAUAGACCCGAAACCCGGUGAUCUAGCCAUGGGCAGGUUGAAGGUUGGGUAACACUAACUGGAGGACCGAACCGACUAAUGUUGAAAAAUUAGCGGAUGACUUGUGGCUGGGGGUGAAAGGCCAAUCAAACCGGGAGAUAGCUGGUUCUCCCCGAAAGCUAUUUAGGUAGCGCCUCGUGAACUCAUCUUCGGGGGUAGAGCACUGUUUCGGCUAGGGGGUCAUCCCGACUUACCAACCCGAUGCAAACUACGAAUACCGAAGAAUGUUAUCACGGGAGACACACGGCGGGUGCUAACGUCCGUCGUGAAGAGGGAAACAACCCAGACCGCCAGCUAAGGUCCCAAAGUCAUGGUUAAGUGGGAAACGAUGUGGGAAGGCACAGACAGCCGGAUGUUGGCUUAGAAGCAGCCAUCAUUUAAAGAAAGCGUAAUAGCUCACUGGUCGAGUCGGCCUGCGCGGAAGAUGUAACGGGGCUAAACCAUGCACCGAAGCUGCGGCAGCGACACUAUGUGUUGUUGGGUAGGGGAGCGUUCUGUAAGCCUGCGAAGGUGACCUGUGAGGGUUGCUGGAGGUAUCAGAAGUGCGAAUGCUGACAUAAGUAACGAUAAAGCGGGUGAAAAGCCCGCUCGCCGGAAGACCAAGGGUUCCUGUCCAACGUUAAUCGGGGCAGGGUGAGUCGACCCCUAAGGCGAGGCCGAAAGGCGUAGUCGAUGGGAAACAGGUUAAUAUUCCUGUACUUGGUGUUACUGCGAAGGGGGGACGGAGAAGGCUAUGUUAGCCGGGCGACGGUUGUCCCGGUUUAAGCAUGUAGGCUGGUUAUCCAGGCAAAUCCGGAUAAUCAAGGCUGAGGUGUGAUGACGAGGCACUACGGUGCUGAAGUAACAAAUGCCCUGCUUCCGGGAAAAGCCUCUAAGCAUCAGGUAACAUCAAAUCGUACCCCAAACCGACACAGGUGGUCAGGUAGAGAAUACCAAGGCGCUUGAGAGAACUCGGGUGAAGGAACUAGGCAAAAUGGUGCCGUAACUUCGGGAGAAGGCACGCUGGUGUGUAGGUGAAGUCCCUGCGGAUGGAGCUGAGACCAGUCGAAGAUACCAGCUGGCUGCAACUGUUUAUUAAAAACACAGCACUGUGCAAACACGAAAGUGGACGUAUACGGUGUGACGCCUGCCCGGUGCCGGAAGGUUAAUUGAUGGGGUUAUCCGUAAGGAGAAGCUCUUGAUCGAAGCCCCGGUAAACGGCGGCCGUAACUAUAACGGUCCUAAGGUAGCGAAAUUCCUUGUCGGGUAAGUUCCGACCUGCACGAAUGGCGUAAUGAUGGCGGGCUGUCUCCACCCGAGACUCAGUGAAAUUGAACUCGCUGUGAAGAUGCAGUGUACCCGCGGCAAGACGGAAAGACCCCGUGAACCUUUACUAUAGCUUGACACUGAACAUUGAGCCUUGAUGUGUAGGAUAGGUGGGAGGCUUUGAAGCGUGGACGCCAGUCUGCGUGGAGCCAACCUUGAAAUACCACCCUUUAAUGUUUGAUGUUCUAACGUUGGCCCCUGACCGGGGUUGCGGACAGUGUCUGGUGGGUAGUUUGACUGGGGCGGUCUCCUCCCAAAGCGUAACGGAGGAGCACGAAGGUUAGCUAAUCUGGUCGGACAUCAGGAGGUUAGUGCAAUGGCAUAAGCUAGCUUGACUGCGAGCGUGACGGCGCGAGCAGGUGCGAAAGCAGGUCAUAGUGAUCCGGUGGUUCUGAAUGGAAGGGCCAUCGCUCAACGGAUAAAAGGUACUCCGGGGAUAACAGGCUGAUACCGCCCAAGAGUUCAUAUCGACGGCGGUGUUUGGCACCUCGAUGUCGGCUCAUCACAUCCUCGGGGCUGAAGUAGGUCCCAAGGGUAUGGCUGUUCGCCAUUUAAAGUGGUACGCGAGCUGGGUUUAGAACGUCGUGAGACAGUUCGGUCCCUAUCUGCCGUGGGCGCUGGAGAAUUGAGGGGGGGCUGCUCCUAGUACGAGAGGACCGGAGUGGACGCAUCACUGGUGUUCGGGUUGUCAUGCCAAUGGCACUGCCCGGUAGCUAAAUGCGGAAGAGAUAAGUGCUGAAAGCAUCUAAGCACGAAACUUGCCCCGAGAUGAGUUCUCCCUGAGACUUUAAGUCUCCUGAAGGAACGUUGAAGACGACGACGUUGAUAGGCCGGGUGUGUAAGCGCAGCGAUGCGUUGAGCUAACCGGUACUAAUGAACCGUGAGGCUUAACCUUACAACGCCGAAG
rnacentral:rRNA from 1 species